rnacentral:tRNA from 1 species
UGACUUAUAGUUCAAUGGAUGAGAAUGCUGCGCUACGAACGCAGAGAUACAAGUUCGACUCUUGUUAAGUCAACAA